CUGAUCUGUAUUUUCAUAUAGUUAAGGCAUCCACAGUUCAUGAUUAUGUAACAUUACAUAAUUUAAACACUUCUUCAAAACACAAAAGAUUAUGAUGAGUGCAAGUGUUCGUAUAUACGUACGUCUUUCAUGACAUGUAAACUUGAACACUUGCAGUCUUCAUUACCUGGCAUACUGGGCAACUAUCAAUAAACACUUCACAUGCUUUACAAAGGCACAAGUGCCUGCAUGGAACUAACAAGACAUUGGCUUCUUUACUCUUGCAAGCUCUGCAGCAUUGUGUAUUGGCUACUUGGUCAUGUGAACCACUUGCCAGAUGGUAGUUUGUACUUGAGGCAGCAUCAUUUACUUCACUAUCUCCACAGCCUUCCUUAGCUUGCAUGGAACCAUGGGCCAUGGCCUGCUGAAUAUUGCUUUUCAGGGCAUUAACAACAGACUCGUUGUACUUUGCUCUGUAAUGCCAUGACUGAGCUUCUACAGUGAUCUGCCUAAUUCUCUCUCCAAGCUCCCUGUUCUUGCGGUUCAUAUUGUCUAUUUCAACAUCUUUCUCAUAUAACUUCCUGCUAACUUCUUUUUGCA
rnacentral:misc_RNA from 1 species